UUUAAGACAAAAAGAGGGUAAAUGAUUGGGUAUCUCUUUAAGCAAUCAGACUGCGAGUUUAUUUAUUUUUAUUUUUAUUGGUGAUACAGUGGGGAACAAGUCUUUCUGACUCUCAACGAGACUCACUAUUCAUCAAUCCACCCAUUUAACCCUAGCCAAACCACGGCACAAACAAUUCACCUGCUCAACCAGACAUUUUUGGAGUGAGGGAGGAGAGCCACGCGAUCUCGGGGAGAACGUACAUACUCCUGCCAGAGGACGCAGGGACUGAACUCCGAACUCCGGAACUCCCCGUGCUAUAAUAGCCUCACGCCAUCGUUGACAGCGAAACCGUGCAAAUUAACGUAGGUGAAUUCAGGUAGAGAGAGUGCAAUGGCGAAAGGGAGAGUGGAUAAAGAUUCUGAAGGAAAUAAUUACGUUUUUAUAACAUCCGGCUACGCUCGCACAACGGCAACAGUCCUAGGAAAUUAACCCAGGCUCCAACGUGCUGAGUAAGGCAUCUGUGAUGCGGUUCUGAAGAAAAGUGGGCCAGUGUGUCCGAGGCCCAAGAUUUAUCCCCCAGUCAGGAUCCCUGAAAAUGAUUAUUUACCCAGUGCCCACAACGCUGUUCCACAGAGUCCCGGGUUCGAUCCUGACCUCAGAUGCUGCCUCUGGAGAAACAAAUUCCCUGCAGGAGGAACAGAAGUCUACAGGAAGUCCAACUUAAGCAAAUCCCUCCCUACCAACGAGCGCUGCCACAAGAAAACAGCAUCCAUCAUCAAGGAGCCCCCCAUCCAGGCCAGGCUCUCUUCUCACUGCUACCAUCGGGCAGGAGGUACUGGAGCCUUAGGUCCCAAACCACCAGGUUCUGGAACAGUUAUUACACUUCAUCAGGCUCCUGAACCAGCACAGAUAACUUCACUCACCUCAACACUGAACUGACUCCACAACCCACAGACUCACUUGCAAAGACUCGACAACUCAACAUCAUUUAUGUUCUUCUUCUUCAUUACUUGUACAAUUUGUCCUCUUUUGCACUGUGGUCGCUUGCCAGUCUGUGUUAAUUGAAUGGAACUGAAUUGACUUUAUUUCUUACAUCAUUCGUAUACAUGAGGAGUUAAAAUCUUUACGUUACAUCUCCGUCUAAAUGUGCAAUGUGUAGUUUAUAGUCAUUUAUAAUAAAUAGUAUGUACAACAGAACAGUCAAUAUAACAUAGAAAUACAAUCGUAUCAGCAUGAAUUAAUCCAUCUGAUGGUCUGGUGGAAGAAGCUGUCCUGGAGCCUAUUGGUCCUGGCUUUUAUGUUGCGGUACUGUUUCCUGGAUGGUAGCAGCUGGAACAGUUUGUGGUUGAGGUGACUUGGGUUCCCAAUGAUCCUUCGGGCCCUUUUUACACACCUGUCUUUGUAAAUGUCCUGAAUAGUGGGAAGUUCACAACUACAGAUGCACUAGGCUGUCCGCACCACUCUGUGCAGAGUCCUGCGAUUGAGGGAGGUACAGUUCCCAUACCAGGCAGUGAUGCAGCCAGUCAGGAUGCCCUCAAUUGUGCCCCUGAGAAAGUUCUUAGGAUUUGGGGGCCCAUACCAAACUUCCUCAACUGUCUGAGGUGAAAGAGGCACUGUUGUGUCUUUUUCACCACACAGUCAGUAUGUACAGACCACGUGAGAUCCUUGGUGAUGUUUAUGCUGAGGAACUUAAAGCUGUUCACCAUCUUAACCCCAGAUCCAUUGAUGUCAAUAGGGGCCAGCCCGUCUCCAUUCCUCCUGUAGUCCACAACCAAAGUACGGUUUUUCAUAAUUUUUUUGUAUUUCUUUCCAUUUCUGUUAAUGCCUGCAUGAAAAUGUAUCUCAGGGCAGGAUAUGGUGACAUAUGAAGUCAAAGUAAAUGUAUUAUCAAAGUAUGCACAGAAUAUAUACGUCACCAUAUAUGACCCCGAAUUUCAUGUUCUUUGCAGGCAUUCACAGUAGAACAGAGAAGUACAACAGAACCAAUGAAAAACAACAUUAACAAAAACAACCAAUGUGCAAAAGAAGACAAACUGCAAAUUCAGAUAAUAAUAAUGAUAAAUAAAUAUGUAAAUAAAUAGUGCUGUAUUUAUGUACUGCAUAUUAGAAAUAAUAGUAUACAUUCUUAGAUAACAAAUUUACUUUGACUUUUGCAAUGUGGUGAGCCCUAUAAGAAUUUUGUUUUUUACCGUGAGUUUUUGUCUGACUCAGCUAACAAGGGUUUAGCAUCCUCACCUGGCAACCCACCAUCCCUGGAACCUUACUGCACUUGCAGAUCAGCAGUGACCAGGUAAAUCUUAGCCCUUUCUGUCCAGGCAUGGAUUUGACCCCACUGCCUUGGAGCUGUAUUUCUACUGAGAUAAGGA